GGAAUAUUGCGCAAUGGGGGAAACCCUGACGCAGCAACGCCGCGUGAGCGAAGAAGGCCUUCGGGUCGUAAAGCUCUGUCUUAAGGGAAGAAGAAGUGACAGUACCUUAAGAGGAAGCCCCGGCUAACUACGGGCCAGCAGCCGCGGUAACACCUAGGGGGCAAGCGUUGUCCGGAAUUACUGGGCGUAAAGGGUGCGUAGGCGGCCAAAUAAGUCAGAUGUGAAAGUCCAGGGCUUAACCGUGGAAUCGCAUUUGAAACUGUAUGGCUUGAGUGCAGGAGAGGAGAGCGGAAUUCCUAGUGUAGUGGUGAAAUGCGUAGAUAUUAGGAAGAACACCAGUGGCGAAGGCGGCUCUCUGGACUGUAACUGACGCUGAGGCACGAAAGCGUGGGGAGCGAACA
rnacentral:rRNA from 1 species